rnacentral:rRNA from 1 species
GACGAACGCUGGCGGCGUGGAUUAGGCAUGCAAGUCGGACGGUAGGGCUUUAUCGUAAGAUAGAGUUUGAGAGUGGCGAACGGGUGAGUAACACGUAGGAAUCUACCCUUAAGACGGGGACAACCCAGGGAAACUUGGGCUAAUACCGGAUGAGAGUGCGAGAGAUUGCAUUUAAAAGGAUGGCGAAAGUUGUCGCUUAGGGAUGAGCCUGCGGUCUAUUAGUUAGUUGGUGAGGUAAGAGCUCACCAAGGCGAUGAUAGAUAGGCGGCCUUAACGGGUGGUCGCCCACACUGGGAUUGAGAUACGGCCCAGACUCCUACGGGAGGCAGCAGUCGAGAAUAGUCUACAAUGGUCGGAAGACUGAUAGUGCGACGCCGCGUGAACGAUGAAUCCCUUCGGGGUUAAAGUUCUUUUAUAUGUGAGCAGUGCUUCUUAUAUUAACAGUAUGGGGAAGAGAUAUUAGCAUAUGAAUAAGCAACGGCUAACUCCGUGCC